CCUACGGGAGGCAGCAGUGGGGAAUAUUGGGCAAUGGGCGCAAGCCUGACCCAGCAACGCCGCGUGAAGGAAGAAGGCUUUCGGGUUGUAAACUUCUUUUGUCAGGGAAGAGUAGAAGACGGUACCUGACGAAUAAUCCACGGCUAACUACGUGCCAGCAGCCGCGGUAAUACGUAGGUGGCAAGCGUUGUCCGGAUUGACUGGGUGUAAAGGGCGUGUAGCCGGGUUGACAAGUCAGAUGUGAAAUCCUGCGGCUUAACCGCAGAACUGCAUUUGAAACUGUUGAUCUUGAGUACUGGAGAGGCGGACGGAAUUCCUAGUGUAGCGGUGAAAUGCGUAGAUAUUAGGAAGAACACCGGUGGCGAAGGCGGUCUGCUGGACAGCAACUGACGGUGAGGCGCGAAAGCGUGGGGAGCAAACAGGAUUAGAUACCCUAGUAGUC
rnacentral:rRNA from 1 species